rnacentral:lncRNA from 10 species
ACAGGGGUUAACAACAAGCAACAACUCAGGUCGCAUUCUUGUCAACGGAAGGGAGGGCCAGGUGGAACCGCCAAGGGGGCCAUUUCUGGCUUUGCUGGAGGCUGUCAGCUUCUGGUGGGAGCCACAGCCUGAGGGCAGCCAGGAUGGCUCUGCUGGGAGGGACACCCUGCCCAACCCUGGGAGCAGGUGACGAAGGCUCCUGGAGGCAUGGUCACAUCCCUGGGUCCCAGAGGCAGGAACAAAGCCCCCAGGGCAGGUGGGUGAAGGCUGCUGGGGGUCGGAGGGGAAGCCUUGCUGCCCAGGAGCUCAGGCCGGGCUGAAAAGGGCAAUGCCACAGAACCCCUGGAAGGAGCAGGACAGCAGACAGUGUUCCAGAUGAGACUGCAGAGGGCCGGGGAGCCAAGUACCAAGGGGACGUCAGGAGGGGCCAUGAGGCCUCCUCUGAAAGCCACUGUGGCACCAGCAUUUGCGAAGGGCCUGAAUGACUCCUCUUUUAAUGGACAGGCAUCCAAGGGCUUCCGGAGAGCCACAGAAAACCUGGCGUGGAGGUUGCUGCUUGCCUUCUAGGAAUGAUCUUGGAUGUGCUGGUGGCAAUUCCCCCUCCCUUUGGUGAUCCCCCUCACAUCUGCCCCAAGCGACUUCUCCAGGGCCAGCCUUAGGAGGCAGAGAGAUCCC